rnacentral:rRNA from 1 species
UACAGAGGUCCCGAGCGUUGUUCGGAUUCAUUGGGCGUAAAGGGUGCGUAGGCGGCGGGGCAAGUCUGAUGUGAAAUCCCGGGGCUCAACCCCGGAACUGCAUUGGAUACUGCCUUGCUAGAGUACUGGAGAGGAGACUGGAAUUUACGGUGGAGCAGUGAAAUGCGUAGAGAUCGUAAGGAAGGCCAGUGGCGAAGGCGAGUCUCUGGACAGUAACUGACGCUGAGGCACGAAGGCCAGGGGAGCAAACGGGG